CAACUGAACACAGCUACAUGAGUAAGCUCAAGAAAGACCAGCUGAGGAACCCCCCCCAGCCAACCCACCAUAUUGUAGACAUGUCAUAAACUGUUAUGGUUUAGAGACAUUACAUUUAGGGUGGUUUUUACAUACCAGUAGGUGACUGAAAGAAGCCAGAGAUUUCAAUAGCUAGAACAUAUGUCUCUAAAUUAGAGACUGAAAGAAGAAGGCCCUGUAGGAAGAAAUCUGACAAUAAACAUGGAAAAACUGUUUCACUUACUUUGCUUAACUUCCUUUGAACUUUUGUUUCUGUCACUCCAGUGUUUGUGGCAUGUGAGAGAUUUUUUAUAGAGCUAUAAAGAUGAAUGCUUUGAACAUUUUAUACCUCUUUUAUAAAAUCAUGACAGUGUGCUCUUCAGACAAGUUUCAUGUCCCCACUUAAGAAUUUUCAUACUGCCACACACAGAAGUGAUGUGUUUGGCUUAAGGAGUGGGAAGGGGAAGAAUCAUAGAAUAAGCUGGGUGAUGCUUUCUGGUCUUUGCCAUCCUAAGGUAUUUAAAAUAAGGUGGCUCUAAAAGAGGGUCAGUAAACUAUAGCCUAGGGGCCAAAUAUGCCCAUCAUAUGUUUUGUACACCCGUGAGCUAAACAUGGUUUUGACAGUUUUAAAAUAGUUAAGAGACAAAAUCAAAAGAAUAGUAAUGUUUCAUGAUAUGUGGAAAUUAUAUAAAAUUCCUAUUUCAGCAUCCAUAAAUAAUGAGUACCCAGCAGUGCUCCUUCUUAAUAUGGAUUGUCCAGGGCUACAAUCCAUACAAGAUGUGAUAGAUGUUAUAGGCAAAAUUCAAAAGGUUUACCAUCUGACCCUUUGCAGAAAAAGUUUGAUUUUGAAUGCUCUUUUGAGUAUUUUCCUUUUCUGUGGCUGUAGUGCAUUAUAUCUCAUAGUGGUAUUUGUGAAUCCAUAAACAAACACACUCAGAUGACUUUCUCCACCUCAUCCUCACAGUCCUCACAGCUUGUUAGUCUAAUAUGGAGAUGUGUAAAGGCAUUUAGGUCCUAAAAUUGGUUAGAGGAAUAGAUGAGGGCGAGGAGAGAGAGCAAGAGCGCAUAAAUCAGAGUCGGAGUUCAGUGGUAACAGUUGAAAAAGUGACUUUAAAAAUGCCUCUGUAUCUUUCUCUCGUAGUACCUCUUCCAACUAUCUUUUUUUUUUUUAAUUUAUGGAUCGAGCUGUUUCUGAAGAGCUAGAAUAGCAAACAACUAACAGCAUUAGGCUUAAAAAAUAACUUUUUCUUUCCAAUUUCCCUCUGUCCUCAGCAAUUACAUGUUCUUCCAAAGAUCUUGUUGUCACCGUGUCAUUGACAAUAGCUAAAUAAAUAUAUAAGUAUAAAGUUUAGACCCAACUUUCCGUGUGUGCUUGGCCUUCCCAGGCUUCAAACUCCCCCUUCCCACCUUCACUCAAGAUGUUCUCCCAAAGUACCCUGUGAGUUCUUUGAAAGUUAUAUUCAGAGUCCAUUCAUAUACUUUGCUUCUCUAACAGUUGAGGGAUUAUGGAAUUUAAUCUCAAAAUACCGCAGUGAAAGACACACUUGGUUAGGAACAGUGAUUGUCAGGCCUGGAAGAAUCUGUAAUUGUUUUCUGGAAAUGACACCCCAUUAGUUAGGAAAGGAAGAAGAGAGGUCGUCUCACUCUUAGCAAUAUAGUUUCAAGUAUAAUUUCUGGUUUCCCAAGAACCUUUCCAGGUAACAUAUAAAACCUUCCCUGUUCUGGGCUUCAUGCCUCUUUUCCCAUGCUUUUUAACUUUUUCUAUUAGACCAUAUGCUAAUAUUUAUUACUUGUGUAUAUUACCUUAGUGAACAUAUGUAUUAGUUUAGGUAUUUUUAAAAAGUAAUUUUGCUUUGAUCCACCCUCCAAAUCACACUGUGUUUACCACAUUCCUGAGAGGGCUAAUAAGAGUCGUUCAGCAGGGAGUAUUAUCCAACUGGAGAAUUUUGGAAGAAACAUAUGUUAGUAUAACAAUUUUCCGGAGGGAACAUUGUUCUAAGGAAAUUUUACAAUGGAAGGAACAUGAGCCAUUUGCUCUAUAGUCACACAGACUCUCUUUAGCACUAAAAGCUACACCUCCUUUUGCUUCUUUUCUGAAACAAAUAUGCAAGCUAUAGAUAGCCUCACUACAUUUUAUCUUUACUUCUUAGCUGUUGAGAACUUUAUUUUCUGGUCAGAUCUCACAUAUGACAUUAUAUUUAUUAGAUUUGAAUUUAAAUAAUAACUAAAUUGCAGCAAAGAAAUUGUUAUUUAAAACAGUGACUCUGUGAGUGAAAAAGUGGAUUUAUGUAGGGCCAUUUAUUUAGAAUCUCCUAGACCAAUCUAUCACUUAAGCUACAUGUAGGAAACAGAAAGUAUAAUACAAAAUUGCCUCUUUUAAAAAAAAUGAACGUUUUUUUAUUGGCUUGCUUAACUAGGGAUGCAAAAGUAGGGUGAAGCUCAGCGUUGUCUGAUUCAACAGCUCAGUGAUAGAAUCAUCAACCCUUGCUCCAUUCUGCAGUCCAAAGUGCCACCUUCCUCCUAAAAUGCCAUGGGAUGGCAAAAGUAGCUUUCUUCCCUAUUCACAUUGGGUAGAAGAAAGAGAAUUCUCCUACAGUCUCUCCUAGGUUAAAAAAAAAAGAACUUUCCAAGAUGUUCUCAGCAAAUGGGUCCUUUGUGUCCCACUGUUCAUAUUUUGUAUCAUGUAUGCAUUCCCGAUCCAGUCCUUCGUUGACUGAAAAAAAAAAAAUGCACAUCAUGAGAGUUGUGAGUUAAGUUUUAUUUGGGGCAAAAUGAGGACCAGAGCCUGGGAGGAAACAUUUCAGAGAGCCCUGAGAAACUGCUCCAAAGAGGUAGCAGAAAGUCAGUAUAUAUGUGAUUUUAGUGAAGGGGGAAGUACAUUCAGUCAUGCAUACAUUUUGCAGAAGGACACUGCUAGCCACGAGGAACAGGCAUCACUAGGAAAGAUGUUAGUGCUUUUCUAGGUAUGAGGAGAUGCAAGAAUUGAGCUCAUAAAAUCUUCUCCUGAAGGUAUCUAAUUAUCUGAAGACCUAUUCUGCCAGUUUUCCAAGAGCACAGAAUGCCUCACUCCCGAUCUCCACCCUGAACUCUUUCAGGGGGUGUUGAAGUUCAGCAGCUGCAGUGACUCAUGAUUUAAUCCUUGUAAUGGUAGACAGCAAGUGCCCAUCUCCGGUUGGCAGUUUUGGUACUUGAACUUAGAGUUCAAGAUGCGGAGAUGAAGUCAGCCCUGAGUCUCAUGGGCAGUGUGAGUCUCAUGGGCUGUGUGCCUAUUUGAACAUACCUAGGGUACUUCAGGAAAGAAAAAAAAAAGAGAGAGAGAGAAAGAAAUAGGAAUCAAGUAACUAAACAGAAGCAUCCACUUUAGCUGGCUCUAUGUGAAUGAAAUACAGUAAGAUUAAAGUAAUAGGAGAACCAUACCCCCCUUUCUUUUAUUGCUUUCUUUUUAUCCUGGUGUUAUGACUAACAAAGUUCACAAGCUAAAAGAUUUUGGGUGUAUUAAUUUUAUUAUCAGCACUAAAGAAAUUCUAAAAUGACUUUUUCUUAUUUUCAAUUGAACUCCUCUAAAAUAACUAUCUUUUAUAUAAUUUUUUAAAUGGCUACUGGCUAGGUUGUACAAUCAUUACCACGAUCAAUUUUAGAACAUUUUCAUAUUCCAUACCCAUUAGCAAUUACUUCCCAUUUGCCCCAAACCUAGGCAACCACUAAUCUACUAUCUAUCUCUAUAAAUUUUCCUAUUCUGGAUAUUUCAUAUAAAUGGACUCUUGCAAUAUGUCUUUUGGGGUCAUUUUGUCCCAUUUAAAAAUUUUAUUAAAAACACAUAACAUAACAUUUACCACAUUAGCCAUUUUUUAAGCAUACAGUUCAAUGGCAUUUAAACUCUGGGCAGCUAGAACCACCAUCCACCUCCAGAACUUUUUUCACAUUCCCAAGCUGAAACUUGGUAUUCAGUGACUCCCUAGUCCCAUCCCCUCAACCUUCUCAAUGCCCAUUCUGCUUCUAAUUCGAUUACAGUAGAUGCCUCAUUUAAGAAGAAGCAUCCUUUUCUGUCUGGCUUAUUUCACUUGGCAUAAUGUCCAUGUUGUAGCACAUAUCCAAAUUUUAGUCCUUUUUAUCACUAAAUAAUAUUCUGUUGUAUAGGUAUACUGUAUUAUGUUUCUCUAGUCAUCAGUUUAUGGCAUUUCAACUUUCUGGCUAUGUGAAUAAUGCUGCUUUGAAUAUUUACGUACAAUUUUUUUCUGUGGAAAAUAUGUUUUCAUGCCCUUUGGGUUUAUAUAUGGGAAUUUCUGGGUUGUGUAGUCUUUUUCUUUGAAAUAUUCCUUUAAGCUAAGAGUCCUAAAGACCUUAUAAGUCAAAGGAUAAGAACAUUUUACAGCAUGCCCCUUGAUAUCUAUUGCUCAAAAUGUUUUUCCAAAAGCUUCUCAAAUGUAUGCUACUUUCAAUAAUGUGAUGUUCCAGUUUCACUGUAACCUUCCCAGCAGUGGGUAUUAUUUUUUCUAGAAUGUAUAUUAAGAGUAAGAAUUUAACUUUGUUAUUUUAACAUAGGUGUUUUUUCUUUAUUAGCUGUUACUCCUCCUAAGACUAGACCUCCAGAUGGAAAAACCAGCUAAUAUUUGAGCCUUAUUCCUAUGGGUUGCUUUUGACACUUUCCCACAAAUGCUAUGCUGGUGGCAGGGAGUGUUUUUCUUUACCCAGUUCUGAAGGCAGCUCUUUGCAGGAGUUAGCCAAAGCAUUCUGGCUUUACUGAUCACAGCAGGUGUUAACCUUAGGGAACAUGGGGGAAUCUUUCUCCAAGCUUGGAGUUUUUUAAAUUUUAGGUUGUGCCCAUAUCAUAUGGAAGUUCCCAGGCCAGGGACAGAACAUGUGGCACAGCAGUGACCCAAGCCACAGCAGUGACAAUACCGGAUCCUUGAGCUGCUGAGCCACAUGCAAACUCCCAGGCUUGGACUUUUGUAAUCAGUAUUUUUUAAUCAAAAUAUUUUUGAUAUAUGAUAUUCUGUGAAUCCACUAAAAACCAUUGAACUGUACACUUUAAGUGGGCAAAUUGCAUGGAAUGUCAAUUAUAUUUCAAUAAAUGUGUUGAAAUUUUUUUGUGGAGAAAAGCUAUGUUCAAUAUAGUACUAUUAACAAUUCUUAAAACUUCUCAAAUACGAGAUUAAAAAGUUAUGUCUAAGUAAAUUAUAGUGUAUAUAUGUAUAGGUAUGUAUAUACAUAUACAUGUAUGUAUAUAUCAACCAAAUAUUAUUAUUGCCUUUAUAAGUAAUCAUUAUUAAAACCAUAUGGAAACAUUUUGUAAUGUAUGAAGUACACAAGAUACAAUUUUUUUAAAGGAUGCGUAUGGGUAAUGUCUGGAAAAGAAAUGGAAAAGAUAAUCAGUAUGUUGAAGUUUUUGGCUUAGGGGCAAAUCUUUAAAUUUUUUCCUAUUAUGUUUUAUAAGGAAUAUGUUGUACUGCAAAAGACUAAGAAAUAAAAUGGGGAGUUCCCAUUGUGGCUCAGUGGUAAUGAACAUGACUUGUAACCAUUAGUGGUUUUGAUCCCUGGCCUCACUCAGUGGGUUAAGGAUCCGGUGUUGCCAUGAGCUGUGAUGUAGGUCACCGACAAGUGCGAAUCCUGAGUUGCUGUGGCUGUGGGCAUAGGCUGGCAGCUGCAGCUCCAAUUCAACUCCUAGCCUGGGAACUUUCCUAUGCUGCACGGGGGUGGCCCUAAAAAGACAAAAAAAGGAAUGAAAUGGCAGAGUUACUACUAUGGUUCAGUGGGUUAAGGAUCCAGUGUUGCCACAGCUGUAGUGUAGGUCACAGCUGUGGCUUGGCUUCAGUCUCAGGCCCAGGAACUUCCAUAUACCA
rnacentral:lncRNA from 1 species